rnacentral:misc_RNA from 1 species
AAGUCGUAACAAGGUUUCCGUAGGUGAACCUGCGGAAGGAUCAUGGUUGUCAUCGCCGAACAGUUUUGAUUCAGGGACUUCAAGCACGUUACUGUCCUGAUAAAAGAGGAGUCCCCAGCGCAAGCUUUUCUUGACCUGGUGGGUGGGUUCUGUGAAAGUGUUCAACCUGCUUAUGUUUAUCUUUGUAAAGUAGAAAGGUCACAAGAUGCUGUAAGAUAGACCGCUUUAAUCAGCGGGUCACCAGGAGGCCGACACGGCCGGUAAUCGGAUUCUGGGCGUCGUUCCUAUAGGAACGAGUACACGUCCCUCUUGACCCCUUGAAACGACAGGGUGUCUGCAAAACGGAAGGCUCAAUCACUCCACACUUGAAAGGGUCGUGGAGAUAACGAACAACUGUUAACAAUGGAUAUCUUGGUUCUC